rnacentral:rRNA from 1 species
UACGGAGGGGGCUAGCGUUGCUCGGAAUUACUGGGCGUAAAGCGCACGUAGGCGGAUUGUUAAGUCGGGGGUGAAAUCCUGGAGCUCAACUCCAGAACUGCCUUCGAUACUGGCGAUCUCGAGUCCGGGAGAGGUGAGUGGAACUGCGAGUGUAGAGGUGAAAUUCGUAGAUAUUCGCAAGAACACCAGUGGCGAAGGCGGCUCACUGGCCCGGUACUGACGCUGAGGUGCGAAAGCGUGGGGAGCAAACAGG